AUGGAUAAAACAAAUAAUAUACAUUGGGUGAGUUGGGACAUAAUAUCAAAACCAAAGGUAGAAGGUGGAUUAGGAUUCAGGAACCUGCACUACUUUAACUUGGCCAUGUUGGCUAGGCAAGCAUGGCGGAUAUUGCAAAAUCCUUGCUCAUUAUGCACACAAGUUCUUGCUGCUAAAUACUUUCCAGAUGGUUCAAUACUAGAAGCGAAGCCAAUGAAAGGUAUUUCGUAUUCAUGGCGAAGUAUUCUCAAAGGGGUACAGUUGCUCAAAAAGGGAAUCAUUUGGCGAGUAGGAAAUGGAGAAAACAUUCGAGUAUGGGAGGACCCAUGGAUCCCAAGGGGAAGUACGAGGAAAAUCAGUUCGCCCAAAGGAAGAAACUUAAUAGGAAGGGUUUCUGAAUUGAUAAAUCCUAUAACAAAUCAAUGGGAUGCUGACCUAAUAAAGCAAACAUUUUGGCCAGAGGAUGCAAAUAUCAUCCUUCAGAUACCUAUUCAAGAACAAACAUGUGACUUCCUUGCUUGGCAUUAUGAUAAAAAGGGUCUCUUCUCGGUAAAGUCG
rnacentral:rRNA from 1 species